GACGUAGGGCGCGAGCGUUGUCCGGAUUUAUUGGGCGUAAAGAGCUCGUAGGCGGCUUGUCGCGUCGAAUGUGAAAUCUCAGGGCUCAACUCUGACAUUGCAUUCGAUACGGGCAGGCUAGAGUUCGGUAGGGGAGACUGGAAUUCCUGGUGUAGCGGUGAAAUGCGCAGAUAUCAGGAGGAACACCGGUGGCGAAGGCGGGUCUCUGGGCAGUAACUGACGCUGAGGAGCGAAAGCGUGGGGAGCGAACAGG
rnacentral:rRNA from 1 species